UACGGGGGGGGCAAGCGUUGUUCGGAAUUACUGGGCGUAAAGGGCGCGUAGGCGGCCUGCUAAGUCGGACGUGAAAUCCCUCGGCUCAACCGGGGAACUGCGUCCGAUACUGGUGGGCUCGAAUCCGGGAGAGGGAUGUGGAAUUCCAGGUGUAGCGGUGAAAUGCGUAGAUAUCUGGAGGAACACCAAUGGCGAAGGCAGCUCGCUGGGACGUUACCGACGCUGAGACGCGAAAGCGUGGGGAGCAAACAGG
rnacentral:rRNA from 1 species